rnacentral:rRNA from 1 species
UACGGAGGGUGCGAGCGUUUUUCGGAAUCAUUGGGCGUAAAGCGCGUGUAGGCGGCUUGGCAAGUCGGUUGUGAAAUCCCGGGGCCCAACCCCGGAACUGCAAUCGAAACUGCCUCGCUAGAGUCCCGGAGAGGAAGGCGGAAUUCCCGGUGUAGAGGUGAAAUUCGUAGAUAUCGGGAGGAACACCAGUGGCGAAGGCGGCCUUCUGGACGGUGACUGACGCUCAGACGCGAAAGCGUGGGGAGCAAACAGG